rnacentral:lncRNA from 1 species
UGUUCUACACCCUCGUCCACCCACACCAUGGUGAUACGUCUCCUAUACACGGCAUCGUUACUACCAUCUACUAUGUCCAUCAAGUCCACUUUUAUUUCCAUGGGCACACGAAAGCGAAUGGGUAAGGUAGCCAUACUUACGAGCCUGAAAAAGAGGGAAACAAUAACAAACGAGUUGAAAACUCAAUAAAUAAAUCAUCUAAUCCUCAUAUAGAUGGAUGCCUCGUAUCGGAAAUAUGUGAUUCAUGAUGCUAAAAACGUCGAUGGUAAAUCAAUAGCAAAACAUUUUCUUUACCUUGGUUAAGACAUGCGAGAAUCAUCAACUACUUAUAAAACAAGUAUGAUCAAAAUCAAAUAACGGCAUGUAAAAUAUGCACGUGAAUCAAGGCCAAAAUAAUAGCACAUAAAAUAUGCACGUGACUCUCAAGGCCCAAAUAAUAACAUAUAAAAUAUAUACAUGACUCUCAAGACCCAAAAAAUAACAUGCAAAUAUGCACGUGCCAAAUAAUAGCAUCUCUAAAUAAUAAUAAUAAUAAUAAUAAUAAUAAUAAUAAUAAUAGCAUCUAAAUUAUGCACGUGACUCUCAAGUGCCUAAAAAUGCAACAUGAUCAACAACCAAAUGAUAUUUCUUAAACCAUAAUAAAUCACAUGAACUUUCAAUUAUUACAUCACAUAACUCAAUUGUAUCGAUUUUUUAGGAAUCCACCGAAUAUGGUCCUGCCCAUCCAUUGGUGACAGUAUCCAAAAUCCAUCGGGUUUCGUCCCGAAUUCCAUUUGUGGAAGGCAUCUGAAAUCUAUUGGACAUCGUCUGAAAUCCAUCGGUGACAGCUUAGUCCCUUGUGUGAUCAUACGUACAAGUAAGCACACAAAUCGAUUCUUAUCUUUAGUAUAAGUAAAUGCAAGAGGCCUUACAGGCGUGCCAUGCAAAGUGUGUGUUAUGACUUAUCAAGACUGUUUCGUUAAAAUAUAACGAGCACGGGUCAAGAACCAUGGUUUGAUCCGAUACGUUUGAGCACCGUCCUAGGCCAAAUUUGAUUUGAAAACGUUACGCCUAAAUAACGUCAAACCUAGAGAGACCCAGUCCGUUGUGCAUGUCACGCACGUUCCAGACCAACGAGACCUCUUUCCAAAACUUGGAACGUGCUUUCAAGCGUAGACAAUAAUAUAUGAGCAAACCGUGUCAAUAAAUAGUAACAUCUUCUUGCAAGCACAACAAACACGUGACAUGAACCCGAUUCAUUUCCGAACCUCGUACGCAAAUGAGUAAACCAUACAAAAUUAGUACAUGAGCAACCUAUGUGAGUUUAAGCAAUUACAAGAAAGCACUAGCGAACUCCUAUAGACACGACAAGAAUAUAACUCAUGUCCGAACUACGCAACGCAACACCCUAUUCAACGAUUAGGGGAUCUACUUACGAAACCGUACAUCGCACCGGGCACAGCACAGGGUUUGUAGCUCGAAUCAAUUGGUCAACGCCUUGGAUCGAUACGCCUCACUAUCAACCAACCAAGUGAGGUUUGUUCUGAUACGCCUCGACACUAAUCCAAACCAAGCGAGACCUAUCCAUAACCCGUGACAUGCUUCCGGACACACGAGUGAACUGUACGAAAUUGCACACGAGCCAACUCUAUGAGGAUAAGAAACAUCCUACUCGAACAAGUACAAGUGAUAGUAGAACUCAUAUCCGAACCAUGCAACACAACGCCCUAUCUAACGAUUAGGGGAUCUACUUACAAAAAUGGAACGAGAAACAAUGGUGGUGGCGAAAGUAGUAAACCGCCGACAGCUCAUGGCGGCUCACGAUGUUGUCGGCGAGUGGUGGCAACAGUGAGCAGUGGCAAUGGCAGCGAACGGUGGCGGGCGGAGAGAUCGAGAGAGAGAGAGGGUAGGUGAGAGAGAGAGAGAGAGAGAGAGAGAGAGA